UAUAAUCAACAGAGACAUGGAGGCUG
rnacentral:piRNA from 1 species